rnacentral:misc_RNA from 1 species
GAUGAAGAACGCAGCGAAAUGCGAUAAGUAAUGCGAAUUGCAGAAUUCCAGUGAGUCAUCGAAUCUUUGAACGCACAUUGCGCCCUUUGGUAUUCCGAAGGGCAUGCCUGUUCGAGCGUCAUUAUCACCCCUCAAGCCCUCGGCUUGGUGUUGGACGGUUUGGUGGAGGCCCCCUGGGGGGCUCCUGCCCCUCCCAAAGACAAUGACGGCGGCCUCGUUGGACCCCCGGUACACUGAGUUCUUCACGGGACACGUAUCGGACACAUGGGUUUACGGGACACGGUCUGCCUCCCCUCAGGGAGAAUCUUUCUAAGGUUGACCUCGGAUCAGGUAGGGAUACCCGCUGAACUUAAGCAUAUCAAUAAGCGGAGGA